AUGAAUUUUGACAAACAUAUUUCAUAAUCAAUUUUGACAAAUAUAUUUGACUUGUAGUUUUGCAGCACGAGGACUGAUCUGUGAAGCUAAGUAAUCUUAAAAAUAAAAUCUUUUAAGAUCUUGACUCCGGUAACUAUACCCAACAUUGUUUCAGUAAAAGCUUCUUUUUUUUGUUCUCUUUAACUAUAUAUAUUCCUUUCUUGUUGUUGGUAAAUUUAAAACAAUGGUUUAAUUAAUCUUGAAGCAGAAAAGCACAUAUUAA
rnacentral:misc_RNA from 1 species